rnacentral:rRNA from 1 species
CAGUCGCCCGGGAAAACGUAGGUGGCAAGCGUUGUCCGGAAUUAUUGGGCGUAAAGGGCUCGCAGGCGGUUUCUUAAGUCUGAUGUGAAAGCCCCCGGCUCAACCGGGGAGGGUCAUUGGAAACUGGGGAACUUGAGUGCAGAAGAGGAGAGUGGAAUUCCACGUGUAGCGGUGAAAUGCGUAGAGAUGUGGAGGAACACCAGUGGCGAAGGCGACUCUCUGGUCUGUAACUGACGCUGAGGAGCGAAAGCGUGGGGAGCGAACAGGAUUAGAUACCCCCGUAGUCCAUGUCUCUUAUACC